AAAUAAGUAGGGAAGCACGUGAGCUGACUGUCAAGAAAAGCCGCUAUUGUUUGCAGGAUACCCGUACCGUAAACCGACACAGGUGGAUGAGGAGAGAAUCCUAAGGCCGACGGGAGAAGCAUUGUUAAGGAACUCGGCAAAAUGACUCCGUAACUUCGGGAGAAGGAGUGCCAGUAAGAUGGCCGCAGAGAAUUGGCCCAAGCAACUGUUUAGCAAAAACACAGGUCUAUGCAAAACCGAAAGGUGAGGUAUAUGGGCUGACGCCUGCCCGGUGCUGGAAGGUUAAGGGGAGAGGUUAGCGCAAGCGAAGCUUUGAACUUAAGCCCCAGUAAACGGCGGCCGUAACGAUAACGGUCCUAAGGUAGCGAAAUUCCUUGUCGGGUAAGUUCCGACCCGCACGAAAGGCGUAAUGAUUUGGGCACUGUCUCAACAAUGCACCCGGUGAAAUUGAAAUACCAGUGAAGAUGCUGGUUACCUGCGCCAGGACGGAAAGACCCCAUGGAGCUUUACUCCAGCUUGAUACUGGGAUUCGGUAUUGCAUGUACAGGAUAGGUGGGAGGCUAGGAAAUGGUAACGCCAGUUGCCAUGGAGCCAAUGUUGGGAUACCACCCUUGCAGUACUGGGUUUCUAACCAGCAGCCGUGAUCCGGCUGGGGGACAAUGUCAGGUGGGGAGCUUGACUGGGGCGGUCGCCUCCGAAAGGGUAUCGGAGGCGCUCAAAGGUUCCCUCAGAAUGGUUGGAAACCAUUCGAAGAGUGCAAAGGCAGAAGGGAGCUUGACUGCGACACCGACGGGUGGAGCAGGUACGAAAGUAGGACUUAGUGAUCCGGUGGUAUAAAGUGGGAUUGCCAUCGCUCAACGGAUAAAAGCUACCCUGGGAUAACAGGCUUAUCACUCCCAAGAGUUCACAUCGACGGAGUGGUUUGGCACCUCGAUGUCGGCUCAUCGCAUCCUGGGGCUGAAGUAGGUCCCAAGGGUUGGGCUGUUCGCCCAUUAAAGCGGUACGCGAGCUGGGUUCAGAACGUCGUGAGACAGUUCGGUCCCUAUCCGGCGUGGGCGUAAGAUAUUUGAGAGGAGCUGUCCUUAGUACGAGAGGACCGGGAUGGACUGGCCGCUGGUGUAUCCGUUGUCUUACCAAAGGCAUAGCAGAGUAGCCAAGCCGGGAAGGGAUAAACGCUGAAGGCAUCUAAGCGUGAAGCCCCCCUCAAGAUGAGAUAUCUCAUAACGUCAAGUUGGUAAGACCCCUUGAAGACGACGAGGUAGAUAGGGCAGAGGUGGAAGUGUGGUAACACAUGGAGCUGACUGUUACUAAUAGGUCGAGGGCAUAAUCAA
rnacentral:rRNA from 1 species